GGCGGAUCGGGAGCGGACUGAGGAGGGACUAAUACGGGGGCGAUCGGAGCAACAUUCCACACUCGAAUCGUGUUUUGAGAUAUUAUAUUUAUUUGCUUAGGCCAUGCGAAAAUGAAGAGCUCGACGGAGUAGUGAGUAAUCCCUGGGUUGGCAAGUGAUUGAUUAUGCUAAUUUGGGAUUAAAGCCCAUUCGCCGAUCAAUUGUUUGUCUUAAUUUAUCAACUUUCUAAUAAAUGUUUUUGGAAGGCAGUCCAAAAAAUGAAUGUGUAAACAAAAAUAUAGCAAUAUACAAACAUAAAUUGCAACUUUCAAUCAAAGAGAAAACUGUUAAAGAAUAAAAAGUACAAUGUUUUCCCAUCCUAGGCCACACAACUCACCUUAAAGUUGACCUUCUGAGCGCUGAAUUUAUUGACAUCCCUUACCAAACAUCAGCGGAAUGUAAUAAAUUUCCAUUACUCGGCUCCGUUUCUUCUCACCUUGAGCUGCCAUUCUGGACAAGUCUUUUGGCCAGCUUUUAGUGCACUGGGUAAUUCGGAGUGACUACGCCUCGCAGCCAGUUCAAGAUUACCAUAAGGCUUAUAAAUAAAUAAAGCCCACUACAGCCGGCCACGAAAAAACGGAAACUUGUUCUGGCCUAAAGCACUUACAACGUUUCGUUUUUUUGCCUUUUCGAACAUUUUAAAAAGAUUUCGAGUCGCGGCAUGUACGCGACGAAUAAAACAAACUGGAGCAGCGCAUUUAACGAGCGGCAACGAGUGUGGCAACGAGUUAAGGCUUCGCAAUGGGAAUGGCAGUAAUACUGACAUGUCAGUCGAAGUCGCCGCCGGAGAACGGCCACAUAAUUCACUCACCCAACGGAGGAUGCAUGCAAAGCAGGAGCAGAUUACAAGUGCAACGCAUUCCCAGGUUGCCCUACCGAUUUCAUCAAAAUGAUAAAGAAGCCGAGGCCGGCUUGACGGACUGCCUGACUGCCUGACUGAAUGGCUGACUGACUGAGCGGCUGACUGGAUGACAGAGCCUACUGUUUGCUCUUUUGGCCACAAGAAGGAAUAAACGAAGAACAACCAAACAGCCAGCGGCAACAAUCGAAAACAUUUAAGCACUUUGUGCUAUGCUCCACUUGAGCCGCGUUGCGUUUCACAUUCGAGUGCAAAAUCAACACACAAACCCAACAUUACUCAAGGUGCAGGCAAAAAUAAAAAUGAAACGAAAAACGAAAAGGAAAAAAAGCAGAGGAAAAACACGAACAGUCGGCAGAGAUUUAAAUGCCUAUCGCGAAGACACAUCGACAAACCGCAUCUCCAUGGGCAGGGUCCACUUUUGGAGUCCAGAUGCAGGAGAUGCAGAUCCACAUCCACUUGCGGGGCCGGUGGCACUUGUAUUGAUCUAAUCUAACCACGUCGGCGUAUGUACGCCUGUCUCCCGCGGUGGUCUCCUUAAUGAGUGGGCUGCCAUGGGUUAAGAAAGGAGUUGCCCAAGAUGAGAAUCUGCCCACGCAGCCGUUUAUUGAGAAAUUGCCAAGUACAAAACGAGGUGUCAGUCGUUUUGAUUCUUUCAAUUCCAAUCUCCAAAGCGCUGCAUAGCUCUGACCAAGUUUGUGGCCUCAGUCUUUUGUUUGGUCUCAGCAUAUUUAUGAUGACAAAUAUGGCUUUUCCUUCGGAAUGGGUAUGGGUAUGGGUAUGGG